rnacentral:rRNA from 1 species
UACGUAGGGGGCAAGCGUUGUCCGGAAUCAUUGGGCGUAAAGCGCGCGUAGGCGGUCCGGUAAGUCGGGUGUGAAAAUCCGGGGCUCAACCCCGGACCUGCAUUCGAUACUGCCGGGCUGGAGGCAGGUAGGGGAGAGUGGAAUUCCUGGUGUAGCGGUGAAAUGCGCAGAUAUCAGGAGGAACACCGGUGGCGAAGGCGGCUCUCUGGACCUGUCCUGACGCUGAGGCGCGAAAGCUAGGGGAGCAAACAGG